GAUGCCGUGGCCAAGUGGUUAAGGCGGUGGACUGCAAAUCCGCUAUUCAUCAGUUCGAAUCUGAUCGGCAUCU
rnacentral:tRNA from 1 species